rnacentral:rRNA from 1 species
AGCAAUUUGUGGGAAUGCCUUUUUAUUUUAAUAAAAAGAGUAUAUUAGGUUUAACUUUAUAUAUUAUUUUUAUUAAAUUAAGAAUUCAAUACCUUUGAAUGUAAUUCUAGAUAAAAUAUUGAUAAUGACAAAGUUUUAUCUAUAUGUCUUGACCAAAUCUUGUGCCAGCAGUCGCGGCAACACAAGGAAGACAAGUGUUAUUCAUCUUAAAUCGGUUUAAAGGGUACCUAGACGGUGAAUUAGGCCUUAAAUGGAACGUUUUUACUAGAGUUAUAUAUGCAUGAGGACUGUGUGAGUAUUACCAGAGUAGAGAUGUAAUUUUUUGAUACUGUUAAGACUGGUAAAGGCAAAAGCAAACCUUUAUAUAUUAACUGACGUUGAGGGACGAAGGCUUGGGGCGCAAACAGGAUUAGAUACCCCAGUAGUCCAGGCAGAGAAUUAUGAAUGUCAUAGAAUAGAU